AUACUUAUCUGGACGGGUAAAUGGGCCAUCAAGAAGGCCGUGGCCUGGGUCAGUGACUUCCAUUGCACAAAGGAAGGGUGCUGGGCUAAGGUCUAGUGGUGGAGCCUACGUCAUAAUUUGUGGUAGUUAAAUGAAUUUUUUUUUUC
rnacentral:snRNA from 1 species